rnacentral:rRNA from 1 species
ACAAGCGGUGGAGUAUGUGGUUUAAUUCGAUGCAACGCGAAGAACCUUACCUGGUCUUGACAUCCCAGAAAUCCCUUGGAAACUUGGAGUGCUUCCAUUAGGAAGAAUCUGGAGACAGGUGCUGCAUGGCUGUCGUCAGCUCGUGUCGUGAGAUGUUGGGUUAAGUCCCGCAACGAGCGCAACCCUUGCCCUUAGUUGCCAGUAGUUCGGCUGGGCACUCUAAAGGGACUGCCGGUGUUAAACCGGAGGAAGUGGGGAUGACGUCAAGUCCUCAUGGCCUUUAUGACCAGGGCUACACACGUACUACAAUGGCCGAUACAAAGGGCAGCGACAUCGCGAGGUGAAGCCAAUCCCAUAAAAUCGGUCUCAGUCCGGAUUGGAGUCUGCAACUCGACUCCAUGAAGUUGGAAUCGCUAGUAAUCGUGGAUCAGCAUGCCACGGUGAAUACGUUCCCGGGCCUU